rnacentral:rRNA from 1 species
UUAGGAAUAUUCGUCAAUGGGGGAAACCCUGAACGAGCGAUGCCGCGUGAGUGAUGAAGGCCCUAUGGGUUGUAAAACUCUGUUGUAUGGGAAGAACAAUUAGGUUAGGAAAUGAACUUAAUUUGACGGUACCAUGCCAGAAAGCUCCGGCUAACUACGUGCCAGCAGCCGCGGUAAUACGUAGGGAGCGAGCGUUAUCCGGAUUUAUUGGGCGUAAAGAGUGCGUAGGCGGUUUAUUAAGUCUAAGAUUAAAGCCCGAGGCUCAACCUCGGUUCGUUUUAGAAACUGAUAGACUUGAGUAUAGUAGAGGCAAGUGGAAUUUCUAGUGUAGCGGUAGAAUGUGUAGAUAUUAGAAGGAACAUCAGUGGCGAAGGCGACUUGCUGGGCUAUUACUGACGCU